rnacentral:piRNA from 1 species
UGAGCUCAGGUGGUUCCUCUUCCUCUUU